GGGUAAACAGCAGCUUGUAAUCUUGCAUUUGAUUUGGAAAGGGGCUCUUGUGGUGCAGUGUUCAUGCCCCUAUCGUUGAGCUAGCAGGCCUGAGUUUGAGACCCACCUGCUCCAGAGGUUGCAUAUGGAGGUUCUGAAAGAUGUUAUUUCAAUACAUUCUUCUUAUUGCAACACUAUCUAGUUUGCAGUUCCCAUUCAAGAAACUAGAAGACCAUCUGUGACCACCUCCCACAAAUAAAUUUUGCAAGUUCAGACACAUUUAAGCUGCAGGUGAUGCCUU